rnacentral:rRNA from 1 species
UACGGAGGGUGCAAGCGUUAUCCGGAUUCACUGGGUUUAAAGGGUGCGUAGGUGGGCUGGUAAGUCAGUGGUGAAAUCUCCAGGCUUAACUUGGAAACUGCCAUUGAUACUAUCAGUCUUGAAUACCGUGGAGGUCAGCGGAAUAUGUCGUGUAGCGGUGAAAUGCUUAGAUAUGACAUAGAACACCAAUUGCGAAGGCAGCUGGCUACACGAAUAUUGACACUGAUGCACGAAAGCGUGGGGAUCAAACAGG